AUCAUGCUCAGGACGAACGCUGGCGGCGUGCUUAACACAUGCAAGUCGAACGAGAAUCUACGGAUCGAGGAUUCGUCCAAGUGAAGUAGAGGACAGUGGCGGACGGGUGAGUAACGCGUGAGGAACCUGCCUUUCAGAGGGGGACAACAGUUGGAAACGACUGCUAAUACCGCAUGACACAUUGGGGUCGCAUGGCCCUGAUGUCAAAGAUUUAUCGCUGAAAGAUGGCCUCGCGU
rnacentral:rRNA from 1 species